rnacentral:sRNA from 1 species
CUGAAAUAAAUUCAGUCAAGUGCUUCAGCAGAAAG